rnacentral:lncRNA from 1 species
GUCCCUCCGUUUUAGCUGCCGCCGCGGCGGCCGCCGAGCGCGCUCUUUCCGCCCCCUUCUCGCGCGUGAGCGCGCCCUAUCGGCUCCUGGCGCGUCAACAUUCCGCGGGCCAGGCCUUGGGGCGCGUCUGAGGAGGGGGAUGUCUGUGGCCUCUCCGCCCACACUUCCUCCACCCACCGCCCACAGCGCCCCAGAAGGACCUAUUACUCGUUUGGCUUCUGAAGGCCGAAGCCAGGCUCUGGCGGGGAUAGAACCCUGAAGGGCCUGCGCCAGCUCCAACUUAGGGCCCUUAUCUUUUGCUGCCUCUUACGUAUUGUAGGCAGUGCCUGAUGGCUGAGAAGAAUCGCAGAGGACUAGAAAAGGUUUGAGUCUGAAAUUAUCUGGCACAGAGGAUUAAAGCUCAGAAAUAAGUGAUUGCGAAACAGUUCAACUUCCCUGUUAAUGACAACAACAACAGCAACACGCUUAUUAAUUCCUAGCUGGAGCAUCAAGCUUAUGAAGAUUUCCAAGACUUUAUUGUUGACCCUUGUUGAAGAGAACUCUACUUGGCUUCUUUCCUGGCUUUCCUAAAUUGUUCACAUACAAGAUAAACUACCGUCAUUCAGACUUACAGAAGUGAGAAGACAAGCUGAACCAAAUGUAAAAUGGUAGCAAUUUACAGAUGUCAGAACUAACAUGUGGAUGAACUUAGAGAUGGAGAAGAAAGCUGGGCUUUUCCAAAGAGUGGAUCUAUCUGAACUGGAUAGCACUAUUGAACUUUGUUGCAUAUUUUGUGGUAGCUCUAAAACUCCUCUGCUUGCUUACAUACAACCAGACACCAGUGCCUUCUGAAGCUAAUCCAGGCCAUUUUUAUAACCUAAUGCAGUAGCACUUUGCAAUUAGAUGAAGAAGAUCGGUGGGAUUUCUUUCUGUGGUGAUUAAAAUGUGUCAGGGGAAGAAAUCAAGACAAUACUCCAAGUGAAAAAUAUAAAGUCAGUUAUUUCUUUAAUAUUUUGUGUUAUAGUAAUCAUUUUUAUAUUUUGAGCAUACUUUUUCUUGUCUACUUAAAUACUCAAAAUUAAUUAUAAAAUGUAAAUGUAAGCACAAUGAGAUACCAUCUCAUCCCAGUUAAAAUGGCUUUUAUCAAAAAGAUAGGGAAUAAUGAAUACUGGUGGAAGGAUGUGGAGAAUGGGGAACCCUCGUACACUGUCAAUGAGAAUGUAAAUUAGUACAGCCACUAUGGAAAACUGUAUGGAAGUGCCUCCGAAAACAAAGUAGAACUACCAUGUGAUCCAGCAAUUACACUAGUGGGUAUAUAUUCAAAAGAAAGGAAAUCAACAUAUUAAAGAGAUAGCUGCAUUCUCAUGUUUAUUGAAGUCCUGUUGAAAUAGCCAAAAUAUGGAAUCAACCUAAGUGCCCAUCAGUGGAUGAAUGGUUAAAGAAAAUGUGAUUGAUAUGCAAUGGAAUAUUAUUCAGCCAUAAAAAAGAAUGAAAUCCUGGCGGGGCACAGUGGCUCAUGCAAGUAAUCCCAGCACUGACCUCAUGAAGACAGAGAGUAGAUUGGUGGUUACCAGAGGUUGAGAAGGGGAGAGGAGAGGAGGGAUGAAGAGAGGUUGAUUGAUGGAUAGAAAUAUACAGUUUGAUAAUGAUAAAUCAGUAGGGUGACUAUAGUUUAUAAUAACCUAUUGUAUGGUUCAAAAUAGCUAAAAGAGAAUAAUUGAAAUAACGUAAGACAAAAAUUUAAGAUGAUAGAUAUCCCAAUUACACUGAUUUGAUCUUUACAAAUUAUAUGAAUGUAUUAAAUUAUUACAUGUAUCCCCAAAAUAUGUACAAGUAUUUUGUAUCAAUAAAAAAUAAAAUUUAAGAUAAAGUAAAUGUAAUGAUUAGCUUAUAUUUCCUAGAUCGGAAAUAAAUAUUUACUUAAGUAUGUUUAUGAUGAAGAGUUUUUUUAUAUUACUAUAAAAAUAGACACCUUACAUAAACAUAUUACAGUUGGUGUUUAGAUGGCUCUUUUUUUUCUGGCCUUGAAUUUCUGGAAAGUAGGUAUGGCCUGCUAUGUCAGGACUAGUUCUUGGAAUUCUUUGUUGUUUUUCAGUCAGCCUUAUUUUCUUGGGUCAUGUUUUGAACAAUAUUUAUCAAAUGUCUGUUUACCAGACGUUGUUCCAGAUGCUUGAACAAAAUGAAAUGUCUGCUGUCAUAGAGUUUCCAGUCUAUGUAAGACAGUAAACAAAUGUAUAAUAUAAUGCUAGAUAGUGAUAAGUGCUAAAAAGAAGAAGAAAAUAGGAAAGGGGAAAGAGAGUUUCUGUGUGAUUGUAUGUGAAAGUGUCCAUGCAUGCCGCUCACCCAGUAUUUUAAAUAGAGUGAUCAAGGAAGCCUGUCUGAAGAAGUAACAUUUGAACAGAGAUCUGAAAUAGUCAGUCACGGGAACAUUUAGGGAGAUGUUCCAGGCAGGCAUUGUGGACAAUUUAUGUCACAAAAAAGUCACCCAAGUGUUAAGUCAAGUAACAUCCUGUAUGAUAACUAUAUAUACAUUUUUUUGUUUUUUCUUAAGUGAAAAACAAACUUAUUAGGUUUUCUGGGUACUCAUUAGGUUUUCAGAAAAGUUUUUCAUUUAAUAUCAUUAUUGCUGUAUAUUUCCCUUAAUGAUUAUUCUAUUAUUUAAUACAUAAGAUUUAUGGCUCUACAGAUACAGCUUCACAAUCCCUUAUCUGUAAUUCCAAAAUACAAAAAAAUUUCUUAAUUCAUUUAGUGGCAAAAUCUGAACUGACAUGAAUCUAUUUAAAAUUAUCCUUUAUGGGCCAGGUGCAGUGGCUUACGCCUAUAAUCCCAGCACUUUGGGAGGCCAAGGCAGGAGGAUCACUUGAGGCCAGGAGUUUGAGACCAGCCUGGCCAACAUGGUGAAAUCCCAUUUCUCCUAAAAAUACAAAAAUUAGCUGGGUGUGGUGGCACAUGCUUGUGGUCCCACCUACUUGGGAGGCUGAGGCACGAGAAUCACUUGAACCUGGGAGGUGGAGGUUGCCGAGAUCUUGCCACUGCACUCCAGCCUGGGUGACAGAGCGAAACUCUUGUCUCAAAAAAAAAAAAAGUAUUUAUUCCAUUUAGUGUGACUACUGAUACAUUUCAUUGUAGAAACAUUAGUGUGUUUGAUGAAGGGUUGCUACACAUUAAGUAAAAUAUAGAUAAUACAAUGUAUUGUACCCUAAAAUAUAAAAAAAAUUAAAUCCAGAAACACGUGUUCCCAAGAAUUUUGGAUAAGGGAUUGUAGAUCUGUGUCAGAUUUCUUCUUGAUUUUCUGAUUAAAUGUUACCAUUGUUGUUAAUCUUUAGAUACAUUGUUUUUAGAAGUAUAAUGCUAUAUAGUGCCCUUAUUAUAUACUGGCAU